GAUGAAGAACGUAGCGAAAUGCGAUAAGUAAUGUGAAUUGCAGAAUUCAGUAAAUCAUCGAAUCUUUGAACGCACCUUGCACCCUUUGGCAUUCUGAAGGGUAUGCUCGUUUGAGUGUCAUUGUACUCUCACACUCCCGAUCUUUGCAUUGGGAGCAGUGGACUUGGGUUUGCUGCUUCACCGUCGCUUACCUCAAAUAGGUUAGUGCAACUCUUGGUUGGACAUAGUACGGCGUGAUAAGUGUUCUUCGCCGGUGCCUCGCAAAGAGGGUGGCCGAUCGGGAUGUUGUGCUCCAAACCGUCUUCGGACAAUCUCUGACGACUUGACCUCAAAUCGAGUAAGACUACCCGCUGAACUUAAGCAUAUCAAUAAGCGGAGGA
rnacentral:misc_RNA from 1 species